rnacentral:rRNA from 1 species
UGGAAUAUGCUUGUUUCAAAGAUUAAGCCAUGCAUGUCUGAGCAUGCGCUGAAGUAAAGUGAAGCCGCGAAUAGCUCAUUACAACAGCCGUUGUUUCUUGGAUCUCUUCUCUACUUGGAUAACUGUGGUAAUUCUAGAGCUAAUACAUGCAAGCAAGCCCUGAUCGUGAGUGACGGGCGCAUUUAUUAGAACAAGACCAUCCGGCCUCGUGCCGUGUUUUGGUGACUCUGAAUAACUGAGCGGAUCGCACGGGCUUGUCCCGGCGACAAAUCUUUCAAGUGUCUGCCUUAUCAGGUUUCGUUGGCGGUUUAUGUGACCGCCAAGCCUGUAACGGGUAACGGAGGAUCAGGGUCUGACUCCGGAGAGGGAGCCUGAGAAAACGGCUACCACUUCUAAGGAAGGCAGCAGGCGCGCGAAAUUACCCGAUUCUUGGCUCGAAGGAGGUAGUGACGAAAAAAUACCAAGGUGAGACUCGAUCGAAGUUUCGACCGUUGGAAAUGAGAACGAAUAUAAUCCUUUAACGAGGAUCUAG